GUAGAUCGAUGAGAGGCAAGCCAACUCCUUUCGUCGCAUAUAUUCCGCCCGACGUCGACCAGACAGAUUUUCUCGUUUACAUAUUCGUGUUGCAAGUUUUUCUAACAGCUAUACUUCAUAUGGAAGGUUAUUUCAUAAACUGCGCCCUGUUCCAAUGUUCCCAAAAAAUAUUGACAAACUUUGAGGCGAUGUACAUUAUCAUAGAUCAUAUAGCUGAGAACUAUCCAAGUUCUUCAUCACUUGACUUUUAUGACAAAAAUAUUGAACAAGCGAGAAAUAAUGGGUUCUUCAACACUGAUAAUGCACGAACAGAAAAGCUUCGAGAAGAUAUGAGACUCCUGGUUAGAUCUCACCAGCAUCUUAACAGAUCCGUGAAAAGUUGUGUAAAAUGCUUCGAAUACGGAAUACUUGCAUUAAGUGUCCUAAUAAGUAUGGAUACAUGCUCUCUUUUUUACUUCAUGUUACAGGCAUAAAGUAACAUCAUAGUCAUGAGCUACCUACUAUUAUGCUCAACCUACACGACUCUAUUACUUCUGGUUUAUUACAUAGGACAGCGUGUUACAAAUCAGAAUGAUCUAUUCCGACGAGGACUAGCCAAGCUUCAGUGGAUAGGCAAACCGAUCUGGUUCAAGCGGACGUUACUCAUAAUGAUGAUAAAAGCUAAUACUGACAUCGAAAUAAAACCAUACAGCCUUUAUGUCCUGAACCUAACAUCAUACAAAGAUGUCAGUCUGAUUAUCUGUACUUCUUCAAAUUUCAGUAUUGUAUAGGCUAAUCUACAACUAAUCCAGCGAGACAGUCAUAAGAAAUCAAUCCUCUCUCGCUCUGACUCACUCAUCCUCUCUCACUCUCUUCCACUAUCACUGCAGUCGCUCUAAUUUGGUACAGGUUUGAUCAAAAUGAAGUGGCCCUUUCUUGUUAUGAUGU